rnacentral:tRNA from 1 species
GUUUUUAUAGUGUAAUUCAACACAUUACAUUUUCAAUGUAAAGAUAAGAAUUUAUUCUUUAAAAAUA